UCCGUAGGUGAACCUGCGGAGGGAUCAUUACAGAGAAACUCGCCCGCAAGGGUGACUCUCCAACCCUAUGUUAAUUAUACCUUUGUUGCUUUGGCGAGCCGCUUCGGCCACCGGCUUCACGCUGGUGAGCGCUCGCCAGAGGACCCUAAACUCUGUUUAUUAGUGUCGUCUGAGUACUAUAUAAUAGUUAAAACUUUCAACAACGGAUCUCUUGGUUCUGGCAUCGAUGAAGAACGCAGCGAAAUGCGAUAAGUAAUGUGAAUUGCAGAAUUCAGUGAAUCAUCGAAUCUUUGAACGCACAUUGCACCCUCUGGUAUUCCGGGGGGUAUGCCUGUUCGAGCGUCAUUGCAACCCUCAAGCACUGCUUGGUAUUGGAUGCUACCUCUUGGUACGUCUUAAAAAUAUUGGCAGUGGCAUUCAGCUUCUAGUGUAGUAAUUUUCUCACUUAGGAGCUAUGAGUGUCUGACUGCUAGAACCCUCAAUUUAUCACAAGGUUGACCUCGGAUCAGGUAGGGAUACCCGCUGAACUUAAGCAUAUCAAUAAGCGGAGGA
rnacentral:rRNA from 1 species